rnacentral:rRNA from 1 species
GACGAACGCUGGCGGCGUGCCUAAUACAUGCAAGUCGAACGCAGUGGGGACGGGUGAGUAACAAGUGGGUAACCUACCAGAAGAGGGGAUAACACUUGGAAACAGGUGCUAAACCGACACUGAUGGAUGGACCCGCGGGGCAUUAGCUAGUUGGUGAGGUAACGGGUACCCAAGGCCACGAGGCAUAGCCGGCCCUAGAGGGUGAUCGGCCAAACUGGGCCUGCGACACGGCCCAGACUCCGACGGGAGGCAGCAGUAGGGAAUCUUCCGCAAUGGACUAAAGUCUGACCGAGCAACGCCGCGUGAGUGAAGAAGGUUUUCGGAUCGUAAAACUCUGUUGUUUGAGAAGCGGUAUCUAACCAGAAAGCCACGGCUAACUACGUGCCAGCAGCCGCGGUAAUAC